AGAGUUUGAUCCUGGCUCAGAACGAACGCUGGCGGCAGGCUUAACACAUGCAAGUCGAGCGAAGACUUCGGUCUUAGCGGCGGACGGGUGAGUAACGCGUGGGAACGUGCCUUUCACUACGGAAUAGUCCCGGGAAACUGGGUUUAAUACCGUAUACGCCCUUCGGGGGAAAGAAUUUCGGUGAGAGAUCGGCCCGCGUCUGAUUAGGUAGUUGGUGGGGUAAUGGCCUACCAAGCCGACGAUCAGUAGCUGGUUUGAGAGGAUGAUCAGCCACACUGGGACUGAGACACGGCCCAGACUCCUACGGGAGGCAGCAGUGAGGAAUCUUGGACAAUGGGGGCAACCCUGAUCCAGCCAUGCCGCGUGAACGAUGAAGGCCUUAGGGUUGUAAAGUUCUUUCAACGGCGAAGAUAAUGACGGUAGCCGUAGAAGAAACCCCGGCUAACUCCGUGCCAGCAGCCGCGGUAAUACGGAGGGGGUUAGCGUUGUUCGGAAUUACUGGGCGUAAAGCGCACGUAGGCGGACUAUUAAGUCAGGGGUGAAAUCCCGGGGCUCAACCCCGGAACUGCCUUUGAUACUGGUAGUCUAGAGUUCGAGAGAGGUGAGUGGAAUUCCGAGUGUCGCGGUGAAAUACGUAGAUAUUCGGAGGAACACCAGUGGCGAAGCCGUCACACUGGCUCGAUACUGACGCUGAGUUGCGAAAGCGUUGCGAGCAAACAGGAUUAGAUACCCUGGUAGUCCAACCCGUAAACGAUGAAUGCCAGUCGUCGGGAAGCAGGCACCACGGUGACACACCUAACGGGUUAAGCAUUGCGACUGGGGUGAACGGUCGCAAGACGUAAACCAAGCGUUUGAGUAUGUGGUUUAAUUCGAAGCAACGCGCAGAACCUUACCAACCCUUGACAUCCUGAUCGCGGUUACCGGAGACGGUUUCCUUCAGUUCGGCUGGAUCAGUGACAGGUGCUGCAUGGCUGUCGUCAGCUCGUGUCGUGAGAUGUUCGGUUAAGUCCGGCAACGAGCGCAACCCACAUCCUUAGUUGCCAGCAGUUCGGCUGGGCACUCUAGGGAAACUGCCGAUGAUAAGUCGGAGGAAGGUGUGGAUGACGUCAAGUCCUCAUGGCCCUUACGGGUUGGGCUACACACGUGCUACAAUGGCAGUGACAAUGGGUAGCCACCCCGCAAGGGGGCGCUAAUCCCAAAAAGCUGUCUCAGUUCGGAUUGUUCUCUGCAACUCGAGAGCAUGAAGUCGGAAUCGCUAGUAAUCGCGUAACAGCAUGACGCGGUGAAUACGUUCCCGGGCCUUGUACACACCGCCCGUCACACCAUGGGAGUUGGUUCUACCCGACGACGCUGCGCUAACCUUCGGGGGGCAGGCGGCCACGGUAGGAUCAGCGACUGGGGUGAAGUCGUAACAAGGUAGCCGUA
rnacentral:rRNA from 1 species